CCCACAUCCCCCUGCAGAAGACCCCCACCCAUCACCCCCACCUCCUCAUCCCCAUCCCGUGCAAGGAAUUCUUGCCUCGGUUCUGCUGAAAGCACAGGUGUUAACACACACCUGUUGGGAGCCGCGGCUUUACCCUGAUCCCACUUAAGCAGGAGGCAAUUAGUUCGGCCGGGCUGAUGCUGCUGGAGUUCUGCCAGCACAGUGUUUUUCCACUAUUGUGAGGCCUCCCACUGCCAGUCCCUCAGUGGACUGUGCCUCCUGCAAACAUACACACCUGAGAUUUGGCACAGCCGUAUGUGGAGCUGGGAUUUGUUGCCAGUGAUUCAGGCAGAACAUUCCGGUGGCAGAGGGGGAGCUGCAGGCAGAGUCAGCUGUGGUGACAACCUGUGAUCCAGUUGCAGAGGUCAGGCUGUCACUGCUGUCCCUGGGACUCGUGUCUCCCCCCCCGUUGCUCUGCUCCUGCCGCAGUGGCCGUGUCUGGCAGCGGGAGGUGGUGGGGACAAGGACCCCGGCGGGGUGAGCCAGCCCUGCCAGGGGAUCCCUGCUGGUCCAGCACGGCUGAGGACACAGAGUCACCUCAGAGAAGCUGCCACGCACAUGUGUGUUAGCACAGCUCCACAGUGUUGGUUUUGCAAAAUAUUUAUUGCAAAAUAAAAGUAAAUAUGGCAACAAAACUUAAAUAGCAAAUGACGUGACACUGGCCAUAAAGCUCUUGCUAUAUUAUGAGUCUUUUACAAUAAUCAAUAUUGUCAAGUGUGUCUCCCAGGGCAGCUGCACGGGGACAGCCCGAGUCUGUCGCUGUGUCACUGGCUCCAGCUGUCUGGGAUCUGUGAGAAUU